CAUAAUUUCAUUCACACAUACCAUUGCAUACUGUGUUGGGGUUGAAAACAUUUUCUGUAGCCUCCUAACCUUCAUUCAAAGUUCGGUUUUCUUUUGAAAAUGGAGUUCUAUAUUACAUAUUUCCAUUCUCUUUCAGGAAGCUUUUGAAAGAGAAUCUUUUGGAAGGAAAAAAAAAACCUGCUUCACGACUAUAAACUUCAAUGUAAUCAAAUAAUCUGGAAUUCAUCAUGUUCAUGGAGGAGAAGUCUGCUGCAUGCUAGUAAUUUCUUACUGUCUGUAGUAAACAGUGAUACAAUGAUAUGUCAUUGAUGCUUAUAUAUGCUUAAUGAAACAUGUGAAGCCUGCAUGUUCUGAACUGCUGUGGCUUAUAAUGAAUUAUUGAAUGUGGUUUCUUGUGGUAUGUAUUGAGUGAUUUUUGAAUUGGCUGUGACUGAAACUCCAUGUGUUGGAAACAGUCUCUUAUGUAUUUUACUUGUCCAGAUAAAAGUCUGAUAUAAUUAAGAAAGCUGUUCACGCUCAUUUCCUUU